GACGAACGCUGGCGGCGUGCCUAAUACAUGCAAGUCGAGCGCAGGAAGCCGUCUGAACCCUUCGGGGGGACGACGGUGGAAUGAGCGGCGGACGGGUGAGUAACACGUAAAGAACCUGCCCAUAGGUCUGGGAUAACCACGAGAAAUCGGGGCUAAUACCGGAUGUGUCAUCGGACCGCAUGGUCCGCUGAUGAAAGGCGCUCCGGCGUCGCCCAUGGAUGGCUUUGCGGUGCAUUAGCUAGUUGGUGGGGUAACGGCCCACCAAGGCGACGAUGCAUAGCCGACCUGAGAGGGUGAUCGGCCACACUGGGACUGAGUCACGGCCCAGACUCCUACGGGAGGCAGCAGUAGGGAAUCUUCCACAAUGGACGAAAGUCUGAUGGAGCAACGCCGCGUGAACGAUGAAGGCUUUCGGGUCGUAAAGUUCUGUUGUAAGGGAAGAACAAGUGCCGCAGGCAAUGGCGGCACCUUGACGGUACCUUGCGAGAAAGCCACGGCUAACUACGUGCCAGCCGCCGCCGUAACAC
rnacentral:rRNA from 1 species